AUACUACUCCCUCCGUCCGAAAAAGCUUGUCUCUCAAAUGGAUGUAUCUAGUGCCAAAUUAGUGCUAGAUACAUCCAUUUGAGGACAAGCUUUUCCGGACGGAGGGAGUACUAG
rfam:Triticum aestivum genome assembly, contig: Triticum_aestivum_CS42_TGACv1_scaffold_342546_4DL